rnacentral:rRNA from 1 species
GACGAACGCUGGCGGCGUGCUUAACACAUGCAAGUCGAACGGAAAGGCCCUGCUUUUGUGGGGUGCUCGAGUGGCGAACGGGUGAGUAACACGUGAGUAACCUGCCCUUGACUUUGGGAUAACUUCAGGAAACUGGGGCUAAUACCGGAUAGGAGCUCCUGCUGCAUGGUGGGGGUUGGAAAGUUUCGGCGGUUGGGGAUGGACUCGCGGCUUAUCAGCUUGUUGGUGGGGUAGUGGCUUACCAAGGCUUUGACGGGUAGUCGGCCUGAGAGGGUGACCGGACACAUUGGGACUGAGAUACGGCCCAGACUCCUACGGGAGGCAGCAGUGGGGAAUAUUGCACAAUGGGCGGAAGCCUGAUGCAGCAACGCCGCGUGCGGGAUGACGGCCUUCGGGUUGUAAACCGCUUUCGCCUGUGACGAAGCGUGAGUGACGGUAAUGGGUAAAGAAGCACCGGCUAACUACGUG